AUACAAUGACUCUCGGCAACCGAUAUCUCGGCUCUCGCAUCGAUGAAGAACGUAGCGAAAUGCGAUACUUGGUGUGAAUUGCAGAAUCCCGUGAACCAUCGAGUCUUUGAACGCAAGUUGCGCCCGAAGCCAUUAGGUCGAGGGCACGCCUGCCUGGGUGUCACA
rnacentral:rRNA from 1 species